rnacentral:lncRNA from 10 species
UUCUAGCAUGUUUCCUGAAUAAGGUGUCAAUCAAACUGAAGGAAAAUGUUUAAUCUAUGACAUGGUCUAUGGCCAGUUCAAGUUGACUUAAUUUAUCAUCUUCUUAAGCUGGAGCUUUUAAAUGUAGCCUAAGGACACAGUCCUAAGUUGUAUAGCCCAUAUGGUGAAAGUAUGGUUCUACUGCUAUUAAUAUGUCAUUGUUCAUAUCUUGUUGCAAAAGUAGCAGAACAUAGAACAUCUACAAACAUAAAAGCACUGUUCUUGAGGAAAUUCAGUUAGUCAUCAGUUGUGUAAAUGUGCAAUUUGUUUUUACUAUAUAAACCUUGAAAUGAGCCACACCCCAAAGGGUGCAUCAAACCAUCUGAAAGAUAAUGUACGGAUCCUGAAGGAGCUUUUAAGCAUGCAGCCACUCUAAGCUCCCUGCCAUCCAACUGGGAAGAUACGAGCCAGACAGUCAAUGGCCCUAAAGAGGGGAGUCUUGCUCAGCCUGGUGCACAUCAGUUGGAGUGAUAGUGUGUCCUAUAAACAAUAAGGGGAAUUACUCCUGAGGGGAAAAUAAGAAAAAGAAACCUAAGUAGAUGUUUAUACCAAAAAUUAGUUAUUUUAUGGUAAGUGUUCUAAAGUCUCAGCUAGUAGGCAUGAAGCCUUCACUAACUUGAGUGGCGAUGUUUCUGAUUUUGUGGUCAUUUCAACUGAAGAUGGUCUUGCAUUUGUCUCUGUAUUAUCACUGAGGCAAAACUUUUCUUAGCAAAUUAGUGGUACAACUAAAAUUAUAGGAGAAAUUUGUAAACAACUUAAAACAUUUGCUUAAACCCUCCCUACAGUAUCACACAUGUAUCCAUUUAUAAUCAACUCACAAAUAAUUCUUAGCCAUCUAUACUGACAUGUCUUCUAAGGAUUCCAACUAAGCCUUCUUAAAAUUAUAGUAAGUAUGUUAGAAUUUUGGAAUGACAUGAAUUUUAAAAGAGUAUAUAAUUCUGGUUGUUUUCUCCCAAGUUAGGCUAAGUUUCUCCCAUGUUAGGCUAAGUUACCUAAGUUUCACUGUAAGAGCUACACAACAGAAUCACAAAUAAAUUUCAUUUUCCACUACCUCAACCUAUUCUUAUUGAUACCUUCUUUGCUAGCAUGAAUGUCUUCAAGAUGACUGUUUUCAUUACCCUAACUAAUAUUUAGUUCAUACUAUCAGUGUUUCUUUUCUUGCAAUACUAUGAAUGCUUCUUGG